UCAUGGCUCAGAUUGAACGCUGGCGGCAGGCCUAACACAUGCAAGUCGAGCGGAAACGAGUUAUCUGAACCUUCGGGGAACGAUAACGGCGUCGAGCGGCGGACGGGUGAGUAAUGCCUAGGAAAUUGCCCUGAUGUGGGGGAUAACCAUUGGAAACGAUGGCUAAUACCGCAUGAUGCCUACGGGCCAAAGAGGGGGACCUUCGGGCCUCUCGCGUCAGGAUAUGCCUAGGUGGGAUUAGCUAGUUGGUGAGGUAAGGGCUCACCAAGGCGACGAUCCCUAGCUGGUCUGAGAGGAUGAUCAGCCACACUGGAACUGAGACACGGUCCAGACUCCUACGGGAGGCAGCAGUGGGGAAUAUUGCACAAUGGGCGCAAGCC
rnacentral:rRNA from 1 species